rnacentral:rRNA from 1 species
ACUCCUACGGGAGGCAGCAGUAAGGAAUAUUGGUCAAUGGAGGCAACUCUGAACCAGCCAUGCCGCGUGCAGGAUGAAGGCCCUAUGGGUCGUAAACUGCUUUUAUACCAGAGAAAACCUCAGUACGUGUACUGAGCUGAUAGUAUGGUAAGAAUAAGCAUCGGCUAACUUCGUGCCAGCAGCCGCGGUAAUAU